AGUGAACGCUGGCGGCAGGCCUAACACAUGCAAGUCGAACGGCAGCACGGCAGUAGCAAUACUGUGGGUGGCGAGUGGCGGACGGGUGAGGAAUACAUCGGGAUCUACCCUGUUGUGGGGGAUAACGUAGGGAAACUUACGCUAAUACCGCAUAAGAACUGAGGUUGAAAGCGGCGGACCGCAAGGCGUCGCGCGAUUGGAUGAACCGAUGUCCGAUUAGCUAGUUGGCGGGGUAAAGGCCCACCAAGGCGACGAUCGGUAGCUGGUCUGAGAGGACGACCAGCCACACUGGAACUGAGACACGGUCCAGACUCCUACGGGAGGCAGCAGUGGGGAAUAUUGCGCAAUGGGCGAAAGCCUGACGCAGCCACGCCGCGUGAGCGAUGAAGGCCUUCGGGUCGUAAAGACUCUGUGGGGAGAGACGAAGAAAGCCCGUGAAGAGCGGGCCGUUGACGGGUAAUCUCCUUAGCAAGCACCGGCUAACUCCGUGCCAGCAGCCGCGGUAAU
rnacentral:rRNA from 1 species